CCUACGGGUGGCAGCAGUGGGGGAUAUUUCACAAUGGUGGGAACCCUGAUGCAGCGACGCCGCGUGGGUGAAGAAGCGCCUCGGCGCGUAAAGCCCUGUCAGCAGGGAAGAAAAUGACGGUACCUGAAGAAGAAGCCCCGGCUAACUAAGUGCCAGCAGCCGCGGUAAUACGUAGGGGGCAAGCGUUAUCAGGAUUUACUGGGUGUAGAGGGGGCGCAGACGGCGAUGCAAGCCAGGGGUGAAAGCCCGGGGCCCAACCCCGGGACUGCUCUUGUAACUGCGUGGCUGGAGUGCAGGAGGGGCAGGCGGCAUUCCUGGUGUGGCGGUGACAUGCUUAGAUAUCAGGAGGAAGACCGGUGGCGAAGGCGGCCUGCUGGACUGCAACUGACGUUGAGGCCCGAAAGCGUGGGGAGCAAACAGGAUUAGAUACCCUGGUAGUC
rnacentral:rRNA from 1 species